AGAGACCAAACAGAGCACGGAAAAAGGAACUAAGGGAAACAAAACAGAACAUCAAAAUAAGAGUCCAUAACUGUGACAUUGCACCAUAAAUGAUAAUCCAACAGUGGAAGGAGGGAGAGAGGGGCUGACAGGCCGAGGUGGAGUCAUGGGCCUGGAGGACUGUGUAAAGUCAGAAAUGACUUAGGUGUAAUUUAAGUGAAUUUGGAGAUUUAUCUCGGAUGACUGGAGAGACGUUUUGAGUGGCGAAUCUGUUGCGUCAGAGAAAAAGUUAUGGAAAUCGACGAACAGCAUCGGAAGCAGCCGGCGAAACGCGGAAGAGAAGAGAGCUCGUGAGGCAAGCGCGCUGAAAACGGAGCGCAUGGAAAGAUAUUAAAAACCAGUCAUCCUAAAAGAAUCACGACACAUUGAGUGUCCUGUCGCACAAGUGUCUUCUAGAAGAAAAGCUUGCCGCAUCUAAAGAGAGUUGUGAGCGAAUGAAGACGGAAAGCGCGGAAAGCACGUCAGUGAUGAGUCAACCCGAGACGCUGAUGGUUAUCAACCUAAUUUGAGCCUAAACUGCCAAGAUAUCUAUCUUCAAUUAAACUAACUACAGUCAAACCAAACUAAAUCCAUCUGUUGGAUAACUGUUGUUGGAUGUGAAUGGAUGUAAAAAAAUCAACACACUGCAAUACAAGUCGGACUGUAAGAAGUUUAUUGAAGACUGGAAGUAAAGCCAUUUUUUGAGUUGAUCCUUGUGUCCGUGGUUGAAUAAGCCCUUUUUCGAGUUAGAGGCAGACUGAUGUGUGAAAUCCAGAAGUAACUCGACAGACUGAGGUGAGGCUGAGGAAUCCGCAUCAUAGUGCCGAGCUGGUGAUCGGGAAGCCUGAGGCAAAGCCAAAGAGCUGCAUGAAGAUAGCGGUGGGUGCAGACCCGAGGAGCUGGACGACACCAGUAGAGCCGGCGGAUCAAGGGGACUGGACAGUCAAGGAAAUGGGACCAGGAAGUUGGAUGGGGGCAUCAGAGGAGGAAGGUCUUCAGACAGUACUGGAGCAUCCAGUCAGCAGGACGGGACCGGCGGGGAAGGCAUCAAAUCGAGGGUGGGAACUGGAUCCGUGGAUCACAAGUCGAUAAAGCAGUGAUCCGCUCCUGGCUCUGGGAUGGACUGGGCAGUGCACCUUGACUUUGGGACAACACAGGUGGCAGUGUCUAGCGCAUGGUCUGUGGUAGGCGCAGGCUUGGGCUCCUUCUUUCCCCCGCAGAUGGUAUAUAUAUAUAUAUAUAUAUAUAUAUAUAUAUAUAUAUAUAUAUAUAUAUAUAUAUAUAUAUUUAACACAAUAUUAAAUAUUUAUGUUUUUAUCAAAGUGUAUUAUGUCAUAAAACAUGAGCAAUUCAAAAAUUCCACAGAAUAAAAGCUAGACAUACAGGUUUGUAAAGUGAUGAGGAUAAGUAAAUAAUUACAGAUUUUUUAUUAGAGUAAAGUUUCCUUUUCUCCAUUUAUUUUAUAUUGUACAUUAUGAUUUGUUUUAUAUGUGCAACAAAAUUGCUAUCCAAAGUGGAAAUGGCAAUGUGAGUUUAUUUGGUAGCUUCUCUAGUAACAGAAAACUUGCAAACUGUCUCAGACAGUAAGAUGUGACUAUGCGAAAAUUAGCAUCAUUUGUGUGUAUAGGGCAACAGCUGUGUUUCCUUUAAAAUUGGUUGUUUAGAUCUGCUUUGAUUAAAGUCCUUGAAAUAGAACAUACAGCCAUGCGUUAGACAUAAUUGAACCCUAAUUUGUCACUCACUUCAUUGUUACAAGGACUCCACCAUCCAAUUAACUCAACAGCCACUCUAAUCAAGUAAUUAAGUAAUUCUGAUGCAAAUCUGAGCCUGUAAUUGGUUUAGGAGGAGGGCUGAUAAAUUACCAGAUCAAACUUUAAGCAACUCUUAUCUUGCAAGCUUACAUCUUAAACUGAUGGACAGACAAACGAAAGACCAGGAACGUAACUACUGUCCAAGAGACAACAGAAUGACUCUGUUAAUCUCAUAAGCCAAUAAGUUACAUGACUUAAGAUGAUCAUUUAGAUGAGAAAACAUGAAAUGCAGGAUUAGUUCCUGUUUCAGUUAAUUAACACAACUCUAUUGAGUGUGCAUGCUAUGAAAAACAUGAUCAUCUUGACUUACAGACAAGCAUCAACCUUGGUGCACAAAUACUUGUCCGUGAAAGAUGACAAAUAAAAGAAAUGAUCUUGCUCUAUCAGUGCAAGUGAAACUUGUGAAGUUAGUUUAUAUAGUUGAUAAAAUAUAGCGAUAGAGACUCAAACAUGUAUGGUCACAUGUAGUCUUUUUAAAGUUUAUUUACAGCUUAUUUAAAUUACACAUGAUCUGUAUAUAUUAAUAUUAAUUCAGACUAGAUACUUAAAAAUAACUGUUAAACUAACAUCACUUGUGUAAUGGAUUAAUAAUAAUAUAGAUCAUAUAAUAAUUUUAUAAAUCAUAAAAUAAUUGUAAUUAUCAUUAAAGCCAGACAAUUUCAUUGUUGAAUAUUUUUUACUAUAUAGUGACCUUUAAUUUGGAGGAAGAGAAACUGGGGGAGUGACUUUAUUACAUUGGAUGUGUCAGUGUCACUUUGCUCACAUCUGAUUGGCCCAAUUUCGGUUUGAGAUCUCUUACCCAGAACAUAAUUUGCCCUGGAGCAGGUUAGCUGUGGACUGUAAGUUACUAUGGUGAUGAACACAGCUAAAAGCCAAGUCACUUCCUAAAACCUAGGAUUGGAGUAAACUAAUCUGAAAUGUACCUGGCUAGCCAGCUGUAAGACUGAUGCCAGAGUGCCUGGACCAAGAAAGGGCUACUCUUUGAGAAAACAAAGGAAAUUAACAUUUGAACUCUCUCUUGCAAAAUUAGCAUCCCCACCCGAGAUGCAAUCACACUGAGUCAAUCACACCUCAGCAUUGCCUUAAUCUACAUUUCCCUUCCUUCACCCCCUCUUCCCCCAUCUCUUCUCUCUACAUGCAGAUAUGAGGACAGUUGACCCAAAAUCUAUAUGGUUUAAUGUGAACAAUCAUCAAAGAAUGCUAUACAUGUUUGGUAUAGUUUGAAAUGUCUCAGUGCAACUGGUACAAUGGUCUCGUCUACAUGGAAGUAAACCAAAGGUAUUAAAGGUUUUAAGAGUUUAGAGAUACUUUGGUUGCAACCAUGGGUGUGCCCCUUUCCCAGGGUCUUUCAUCCAAAUUACCUCCUGUUCCACAGCAAGGUGCGAACCCCAUAGGUCUGUGACCCUAGUCAAUGCAAAUUCUGAUUGUAAGUUCAUGCCCCACAUUGGGGGAUGUUUUGUCUUGGUCUGAAUAUUUAAAGAAAUGUUGCAAAAGGCUCGGGGCGACUCUGUAUUCAGAUGAAGCCCACAUUGCUGAGUGUCAAGUACAUUCAGCGAUGUGUAUUUUUCAGGUAUGCAUCUUACUCUGUUUCUGAGCAUUUGAUGUUUUGUAUUGCUCAUCUUUGAAUUGAUUAUGUAAUUGGCAUGAUACAUUUAUCUGACUAAUAAAUUGUCACAUUCGAUUUUA